UUCGCCCGCUCUCCCGUGACGCCGCUGCCCUCGAGAUCGCGAGUCGGAGCUCCGUCCUCGGAGCGGCGGCGCCGAGAUCGCGCGUGGACCGGUCGGUCGAUCGCGCGUCCGAGCUCCGCCCUCGUCGCGGCGGCGACAAGAUCGCGGGUCGAACGCGCGUCGGAGCUCCGUCCUAGGGCGGCUUCACCGAGGUGGACGAUGCGCUGCUUCAGCCGCUCGAUGUGAUGCGCGUCCAGGGUGAACGUCUAGCGGAUGAACCGCAGCCGAUCUUCUUGAAGAAUCGAGGGCGUCGUCGCCUAUGUCCUUUUUCCGGUUAGAAAACUGAUCGAGUUCUUGAUACAUACAUACAUACAUACAUACAUACAUACAUACAUACAUACAUACAUACAUACAUACAUACAUACAUACAUACAUACAUACAUACAUACAUACAUACAUACAUACGUACGUACGUCGGAACGCGGAGCCCGCGGCUAGCAUCGCUUCGGGGACGUCGCGCCCUCGAUCUCGCAUCGAGCUUCGGCGCGUCGGACACCAUCUUCGCGGCGGACGCGGGGUCGAGCGUCGGCACGUCGGAACGCGGAACACGCGCCUAGCAUCGGUCCGGGAGGACCUCGGCCACUGAUCUUGACGUCUAUUGAAGACGGACGUCCACUACGGUGAUCACGCCGGCGACCACAGUCUACGUUGAUGGCGCGACGCGGCGGCGACGAGCAUCGUGUUCCUCUUGGGGAUAUAACCAACACACAGAAUAGAAGCACUGCUCCUAAGAAGAGGUCAAGAGAUUUGGAAGACGAUGUUGAUCUAGCAUCUGUUAGGCGGCAAAAAGCAAGGGAACGUUAUGCGAGUAUGCCGCGGGAGAAGAAAGCAGCACUUAAUGCAAAGAAAAGAGAAAACUAUCAUCGACGACAAGCAGAGAAACGAAUAGCAAUGACAGAUACACCCCAGACAGGAGUGCCCCAGUCAGGAGUGUUAUGUGUUCAUGAAGAUCCAUGUUUGAUGGGGACACCUCAGUCGGCAGCGUUCCACAUUGAUGGGAGUGCAGGCAUGUCAUGCACCCCAUCUUCGGCACUGUUGCAUGUGGAUGGAACUACAGUUUCAUGUAUCACUAUGGGUGUUACUGCAAGUGAGCAAGAUCACGUGCUCAGGAGUCAAAAUACAGCAGCAUUGAUAGAUACACCCCAGUCAGCAGUGGUACAAUUUGAUGGAAUCCCAUGUUUUAUGGAAACACCUCAUACGACAGGUUUGUCGGGUAACCCACCUUUGUCACUGUUGCAUGUGGGCGGAACUGCAGUUUCCGAUAAAACUACUGAAGUUGGUUCAAAUGCCACCAUGCAGAUGCCCAUUAAUCGACAUGGACCUGGUUUGUCGAACGUCCUACAAAAUUCGCCUAUUGCAGAUGAUUUUUCAGAUUGGCUUGCUCGCAACAAUUCAUAUUUUAUAACAGCUCGCGGCAGUAACAUGCCUGCUAUGCUACAAGGGAACGCCGAGAACACAGCUGUUGGCGCCAUGGUCUCACCUCUAGAGGCAACAAAACAAAAGAAAAGGGACAGGGAGCGAAUGAAGUUUGCAACAAUGUCAAAUGAGAAAAGAAUAGAAAGGAACAUCAAACAGAGGGAAAGAUACAAUAGUAAUAAAAAAGAUGAAAACGUUGGGAAACCAAACUAUGACUCUGGUAUUUGGGAACCCGAUCACAAGAAGAGGAGGAUCUGGAUUGCAAAGAGCUGGAUGAUUGUGAAUUUGAUCUUGAUGUUCUCACGGAUGACAAAGCAAGAGUCUACUAUACUAAUGAUGGUCAGUUCAGGACAAUCAGGGAACCAGAAGCGGUUAUUUUGGACAGUGAUCCUUACGAAAGAGUAUACAAUGAUCUACCUGAUAAACAUCUUGUGUUGAGGAAAGUGCCGAUAUGCGAGUAUUGUGGUGCUAUAAGGUUUCCAAGUGAGGGUCCUGGUUUUUGUUGCAGGCAAGGGAAAGUUAAUAUAGUGAAUACACCAGUUCCUGACGAUCUGCAGCGCCUUUUUACAAGCCAGACAGAUAGGGAUGCCUUGUAUUUCAGAAAAAAUAUUCGGUAUUUUAACUCUCAUUUCUCUUUCACGAGCUUUGGAGCGGGUGUGGAUCAUCGGGUCGCUACUGCAGCUGGUACUGGUAUCUUACUUUUAAAGUGCAUGGUCAGAUUUAUCACAGAUUGGACCAGUUGAGACCGGGAAAAAACGGUCCGCAUCAUAUGUAGUUGUACUUCUAUGACACAGAUGAGACCCUAUCACAUAGAAGCAAAAGAUCACCCCAUCUUGAUUCAAGACUGAUUCGUACGAUUCUUCGAAUCCUCGAUAACAACCCAUAUGUUCGUGUCUUCAGGAGUGUUGGACAAAUGGAAAAUUUGGACGAAUUGAGAAUUGAAUUGAACACCAGUAUUUCGGUUGAUCAACGAAGAUAUAACGCACCUGCUAUGGAUCAAGUUGCGGUUAUCUGGCAGGAUGGCUCUAAUGAAAGAACUAAAUUUAAACGGAGUAUUAUAGUUUAUCCAAAUUCUGGUCAUCCAAAAUUUAUACGGGCGUACCAUGGUUGUUACGAUCCGUUAGCUUACCCUAUCUUGUAUCCCGGUGGUGAGACUGGCUGGGAAGACAAGAGUAUAUUGCUGGAGAAAAAACCGACAAUACGCUUUCCCCGAACUAGAAGAAAGUAUACAAAGCGCAAAACUGAUGAUAGUCAUAUUGCUCCUUCUAAAAGGGCAAGAAAAUCAGAUGUCAAGCAGAAUCAAGUACAACCAAUCAGUCAGAUGACACAUUCAGCUCCUUAUAUUUGUGAGGAUGAGGAGGAAGACGACAUCUGUGACAACAACAUGGCUGAGGAUGGUGAUGGAGAUGGUGGGGGUUCGCGUCUGCAUGUUAGUGCGAGGGAGUAUUACUACUAUAUUAUGCAGAUCCGCAAUGAUGUUUUUAAUAUAUUCCUUCAUGGUGGAAGGCUUUUUCAGCAAUGGAUAGUGGAUAUGUAUGUGAAAAUUGAGAGUAUGCGACUAGUUUGGUACUCCCAUCCAGACCACCAGAAAAUUAGUAGGGGAGACCUCUAUCAGGUAUAAUGGACACCCUUCUUGCCGGUGAGAAUAGGGGUUUGAAGGCUGGUAAAUUGGUUGUUUUAUCUAAAAAUUUCCCCGGAAGUGAUAGAGAUGUGCAGUGCAGGUUCAUGGAUGCAAUGUCAUUGGUUGCUAAAUAUAGAAGGCCAGAUUAUUUUUUAACCAUGACUUGCAACCCCUACUGGCCAGAGAUCAUAGAACUUUUGCUGCCUGGUCAGAAACCUCAAGAUAGACCUGAUAUUGUGACUAGGGUUUACCAUGCCAAACUCAUUGAUUUUCAUGAUUUUGUGAUUAAAAAUGGUUUCUUUGGAAAGGUGGCAGCCUGGGCACAUGUUACUGAGUUUCAAAAAAGAGGUUUUCCGCACGAACAUUUCUUGCUUAUAAUGGAAAGUAGUUCAAAGCUUAGUGGGCCAGAUGAUUUUGAUAAAUAUAUUUCUGUAGAACUACCGGAUGAAAAGAAAUAUCCUCUUCUCCAUGAACUUGUAUGCAAACACAUGAUGCAUGGACCUUGUGGUGUUCUAAAUAAAAAGUGUGGUUGCAUGCAAGAUGGUGCAUGUCGUUUCAGGUACCCUAAACAAUUCAGUGAGACCACUUUACAGGGAAAGGAUGCAUAUCCUAUAUACAGAAGAAGAAAUGAUGGUCACAAGGUUUAUGUGCGGGAAAAAUGGUUGGAUAAUAGAUGGGUUGUACCAUAUAAUCCUACACUCCUGAUGAGAUAUAAUUGUCACAUCAAUGUUGAAGUUUCCAGCAGUAUUAAGAGUUGCAAGUAUCUAUAUAAGUAUGUAUACAAGGGUAUGGAUUGUGCAUCAUUUUCAGUUGCAAAUCAUGAUCAGAAUGGAGAGAUAAAGAUCAAUGAGAUUAAACAGUACAUGAAGGCACGGUGUAUUACGUCUAUUGAAGCAGUAUACCGACUCUAUAGGUUCCCGAUGUAUUCUAUAUAUCCUCAUGUUUUGCCGAUGCAAGUUCAUCUUCCAGGUAUGCACAUGGUUCCAUUUAAAGAUGACGACAACCUUGAAGAUGUACUGGAACGAGCUAGAAAUCAAAGAUCUAUGCUAACAGAAUUCUUUAAAAUGAAUAUUGAAGAUCCAACUGCACGGAGAUACUUAUAUAGGGAAUUUCUAGAACAUUAUACAUGGAACAAGACCAAAAAAAGUUGGACUCGUAGGAAAAGGCAGUUCCAGAUUGGAAGGUUGGUGUAUGUGUACCCAUCUGAGGGCGAAAGAUUCUAUCUUCGAGUUCUUCUGAAUCAUGUUCGAGGUCCAACAUCAUUCAUAUCAAUCAGAACAGUUCGUGGUGUUGUGAGCCCUACUUUUAGAGAAUGUUGUGAGAAACUUGGUCUUGUUGAAACAGAUACGUCACUCGACAAUGCACUUAGCGAAGCAGUAGCUUUUCAGAUGCCAUGUGCUCUCAGAAGAAUGUUUGCUACUAUUAUGGUUUAUUGCGAGUACACAAACAUUCGUGCCCUCUAGGACAAACACUUUGAAUCAAUGGCUGAGGACUAUGUGCGUGUUCAUGGAAAUUCUUCAAGUGUUGAACAAUUUGUCCUUAGGGACAUUGCGGAUAUUCUCUCCUCGAUGGGUAAAGACAUUAGAAAUUACGGACUGCCACAUAUGCAUCAGUCUGGUGACACAAAUAGGGAUUAUUAUAGAGAACUAACUGAGGAGAGGAAAAUUGUCGUAUCUGAUGAAGAUAUUAAAUUAGCAGAGUCUCUCAAUACUGAGCAAAUGGAAGGUUUUAAAGAAAUUUUUGAUCAUGUCAUCAGAAAUAAAGGGAAAGUAUUUUUUGUGGAUGGUCCUGGUGGGACCGGGAAUACAUAUCUUUACAGGGCUCUUUUAGCCAGAGUUCGAUCCACGGAUCGCAUUGCAGUAGCUACAGCUACAUCCGCAAUUGCAACAUCCAUCAUGCCUGAUGGUCGUACGGCUCAUUCGAGGUUCAAAAUUCCCAUAAAGCUUGAAGAUAAUUCUAUUUGCAACUUUACCAAGUAAAGUGGUACAGCUGCAUUGUUACGUGAGGCGUCUUUAAUUAUAUGGGAUGAGGUUGCGAUGACACGAAGGCAGGCUGUGGAGACACUUGACAGGUCGUUACGUGAUAUUACAGGAAAUGAUCUACCUUUUGGGGGCAAAGUUAUAGUGUUUGGAGGGGAUUUCAGACAAGUUUUGCCUGUUGUUCCUAGAGGUACUAGAGCACAAAUAUGUGAUGCCACCUUGCUUCGAUCCUAUAUAUGGGAUGAUAUCAAGAUAAUACAGUUGAAGCAGAACAUGAGGGCCCAGAAUGAUGUAUGUUUCUCGCAGUUUCUAUUAAGAAUUGGUGAUGGAACAGAAAAGACCUUCCCAAAUGACUAUGUGGAUAUGCCGAAUGACAUUAUGCUUGAGUAUAAUGAUGAUCAGUCUAUUGAUACUCUCAUCGAUCGUGUGCUUCCGAAUCUAGCUAAGAACUGCACUUUCGUCAGUUACAUGCGGCAGCGUGCUAUCUUGUCAACAAGGAAUGAGUAUGUUGAUAGCAUCAACGUGAUGAUGAUUGGGAAGUUUCCUGGAGAAGAAAAGGUUUACUACAGUCAUGAUUCCGUAGAUGAUGACUCAACUAAUAACUAUCCUCUUGAUUUUCUGAACUCAAUUACUCCAAAUGGUCUUCCUCCGCACGAGCUUAAAAUUAAGAAGAACUGUCCUGUCAUACUCCUUCGAAAUUUAGAUCCUCAUCAUGGACUGUGCAAUGGAACUCGACUUAUAGUGAAGGCUUUUGAGGACAAUGCAAUUGAUUGUGAAAUUGUAAAUGGACAUCAUGCUGGAAAUCUGAUUUUUAUACCAAGGAUACCAUUGUCUC